UAUUUAUUAUUAUAUUAGCAGCUGAGAAGAAGAAGAAGAAGAACCCAAAAAAACUAUAACAGGGACGACACAAAGAGCCAUCUUUAAGAUUUGAGCCUGGGUAUUUUGUGUCCAUAGCAGCAUCAUGAUGUCUUCUGUGCAUGAUCUUUCUGGUAUUUUUCUUAAGAUAUUUUUUGUCUGGUAUUUUUCUUCAGAUAUUUUUUGUUAAACAUAAGUUUGUACAAUAUUGUUCUAUGUAUUUUUUUUUUGGUCAUGCCAGAAACUUUAUUUUUCAUAUGGUAAGGUCUGUUAGGAAGGGUGUGGGGAUAUUAUAAUUUUUGACAAGGUCUAAUUCACAUGAGAUGUGUCUUUGUGUCGAUGUAACUGGAGCUCAUUUAUCAGGUUCAUCAGUGAAGAAUCUGAUGUGCCUAGAAAAUUAGUGCCAGCCCAAAAGUUUUAUUUGUAACAUGCUGACUGCCUUUAACUUAUGGCUGCUGCACCCUGAGAAGAAAGAAGUGCAUGUGAAAAUUGUAAUAGUUGAUAUGUAGAUCAAAAGGGUUAAAAUAGUGAUGUCAAGACGUUUUGAUACCUUUGGGAUUAAUUUUCUUUUCCUUUGUUUUGAUUAGGUUUUGUAUUCAGAGAAAGAUUUCUUGUGCUUCACUUGUUUACUCUAUUAAUGAAAAUGUUUUUAUUU